UAUGUUUACUUCUCUCACCUCUUUUUUCAUGGAUUACAGAUAGUGAAUUGAAUUGAUCAUUCCUCUUCUUCUUUUUCUAUCUUCAUCCAGGCUCACCCUCAUCAUCCAAUCUUGACAUACUACAGUCUGACAGCUCAUUAAUUGGAAUUCGUAAACACCGUUUGUGCGCAAAGUUUCGUCUUGCUUGAAUUGCAUUGAGGCCAGUAUCAGAGCUUCAAUGGCAGAACCUGUUGCAGCCUGGAGGACUAUUGUACAGAUCAAUGACGAUGAACACUGUGGGUGUUUCAUGUUCAGAGAAUCGUAGGUGGUGUGUGUGGAGGAGAGACGACCGAACAUAUAAGGCAUCUUGGAAUCAUCAAGGCUAAGGCAGCAGAGAUUCUGAAAUGUCAAAUGGGAAAUUUAUAUUGUAAGUGCUACCAUCACCUAUAAAUCACGCUAGCCAGUGCCACACAAAUGGUUCUGAAUUUACUCAUGGGCUCACCCAUACACAUAUACAUUCUGUACGAGAAUAAUAUUUUAGGAAUAUCUAACUGCCUAGUCCUGAACCAUCUCUAGAGUGGCUUUCAUUCCCAAACUGCUGUAAGGUGAAAACCACUGGAUAGUACAAAUAUUUAGGCAGCAUUGUAGGAGUACAUAAAUAUUGGGACACCAGUUGUCAAA